CUCGACAGUAGAGGAGUCCAUAGAUUGACAUAUCAGAAUGGGAAUGGGACGUGGAAUUAAAAUGUGAGGCCACUGGGAGAUCCUGCUCUCUCUGGCAGUGUUCAGCAAAAUGGUCUCCCAGUCUGCGUCGAGUCUCACCAAUACAUAGAAGGCCACACCGGGAGAACCUGAUGCAGUAAACCACACCAGCUGACUCACAGAUGAAGUGUCACCUCACCUGGAAGGACUGUCUGGGGCCUGAAUGGUCAUGAGGGAGGAAGGGUUAGGGCAGGUGUAGCACUUGUUCUGUUUAGAAGGAUAAGUGCCAGGAGGGAGAUUGGUGGGAAGGGAUGGGGGGAUGGAUGGACAGAGGAGUCACGCAGGGAGUGAUACUUGCAGAAAGCAGAAGUGGAGGGUAGGGCAAGAUGUACUUGGUGGUGGAAUCCCGUUGGAGGUGGCAGAAGUUACUGAGAAUUAUAUGUUGGACCCAGAGGCUGGUGGGGUGGUAGGUAGGACAAGUGGAACCCUAUUCCAAGAGGGCAGGCAGGUGGAUGGGGUGAGAGCAGAUGUGAGUGAAAUGGGAGAGCCCCUACACAACUCCCUUGUGUCCCCCCCUUCUUACCCCAUCCCUUAUUUAUGUAUUAUUUUUUCCCUUUUGUUUUCUCUUUUUUUCCUGUUCCUCUCACAAUCACUCCUUGCCUGCUCUCCAUCUCCCUCUGGUGCUUCAUUCACCCUUUCUUUAUCCCUGGGCCUCCCAUCCUAUGAUCCUCUCCCUUGUCCAGCUGUGUAUUCCUUUACCCAAUCAACUUUCUAGCUCUUAGCCUCACCCACCCCCUCCUGUCUUCUCCUAUCAUUUCGGAUCUCCUCACGCAUUAGGGAUGGCCUCCCGCUCUCAAAUCUCUUACUAUCUUUUCUUUCAGUUAGUCCUUACGAAGGGUCUCGACCCGAAACGUCGACAGUACUUCUUCCUAUAGAUGCUGCCUGGCCUGCUGCGUUCCACCAGCAUUUUAUAUGUGGCUUCUACUUAUUGUGAACUCACCGGAGCAACACAAAGUGGGUUAACUGAAUGAGUCUCUUCGCACACAUGGAGCAGGUGAACGGCCGCUUCCCAGUGCAAGGCUGUUGGUGUAUCUGCAAUGGCCGACUGAAACCCUUCCAAAAUGAGAGCCAGUGAAUGACAUCUCACUGCUAUCAACACCAUGGCAAUGUAUCCAAUCAGAUCACGGACAUCGACAUAUGUUCAGGUUCUCCUUGUAGCGAGUGGGACACUGUCUUCUCCACGUUCAAGGAUCUGUGGCAUUCAAGCUCUGGUGAACUGACAGAUACAGUGGAACAAAUGUGCUGUUAUGUUUCAGGUUCCCAUACACAAAUCCUUUGAUUUGUCUACACUGUUAAAAGUUUACAAAGCAUGUCAGUGGGUGAAGGACAACAUUUUAACAGAUAAUUUUAGUCUCCAUGGUGCCUUCUGUUAAAAACACUGUCACAGCUCAAAACAUUUUGGAGGAACAAGACUUCAUCUUCUAACUGGCUACAGUUCCGGCAUCAGGCAAAAUAUCAAACUCUCUACUUCCCUCUCUGUAUCAAAAUGGAUCAUUCCUCCCCUUCAUCAGUCUGUGACUUGCCUCAGUUGUCUGACUCCUUCGCAUUCUGAGCAUACACCACACACCCACUAAGAUCACGUUGUAUUUACAUGGCUGUGACUAGAGACUUUCUGAUUAUUAUGCCCCUCCUGGCAUCUGAGUCAGCAAUGCUAUUGAACCUCGGGAGUAGGUGAUUAGGCUUUCUUGUUGGAGAUCGAUAAACUGCCGGUAGUGUGUGGCUGGGUGAGUGGGUUGUUUUCAGAGUGGAAGGAGGUAGCGUUUGGAGUACCCCAGAGAUCAGUCCCUGACCACAGUUGUUCACAGUUUAGUGGCCUGGCGGAGGCAGCGAGAAGUCCCAGUCUGCUGAUGACACAGAAAGAUUGGAGUUGGGGGAGGGGAGGCUAUUCAUAUGCAAUUUCGUAGCUUUGCAGUCAGUACAUAGUGCAUUGUGGGGCUGCAGUGGCGGGUUCCAUUGCUGGGAUCAGUGUACAGUCACUGUGGGCUAUGAGGAUUUUGUGAAUAAAGCACCAUUCUCCAAUUUAGAAUUUCAA